rnacentral:rRNA from 1 species
AGAAACUUACAACAAAGAGUCCCUCCCGACUGUUUACCAAAAACACAGCACUCUGCUAACUCGUAAGAGGAUGUAUAGGGUGUGACGCCUGCCCGGUGCUCGAAGGUUAAUUGAUGGGGUUAGCAUUAGCGAAGCUCUUGAUCGAAGCCCGAGUAAACGGCGGCCGUAACUAUAACGGUCCUAAGGUAGCGAAAUUCCUUGUCGGUUAAAUACCGACCUGCAUGAAUGGCGUAACGAGAUGGGAGCUGUCUCAAAGAGGGAUCCAGUGAAAUUGUAGUGGAGGUGAAAAUUCCUCCUACCCGCGGCAAGACGGAAAGACCCCGUGGACCUUUACUACAGCUUGACACUGCUACUUGGAUAAGAAUGUGCAGGAUAGGUGGGAGGCUUUGAGUAUAUGACGCCAGUUGUAUAUGAGCCAUUGUUGAGAUACCACUCUUUCUUAUUUGGGUAGCUAACCAGCUUGAGUUAUCCUCAAGUGGGACAAUGUCUGGUGGGUAGUUUGACUGGGGCGGUCGCCUCCCAAAUAAUAACGGAGGCUUACAAAGGUUGGCUCAGAACGGUUGGAAAUCGUUCGUAGAGUAUAAAGGUAUAAGCCAGCUUAACUGCAAGACAUACAAGUCAAGCAGAGACGAAAGUCGGUCUUAGUGAUCCGGUGGUUCUGUGUGGAAGGGCCAUCGCUCAAAGGAUAAAAGGUACCCCGGGGAUAACAGGCUGAUCUCCCCCAAGAGCUCACAUCGACGGGGAGGUUUGGCACCUCGAUGUCGGCUCAUCGCAUCCUGGGGCUGGAGCAGGUCCCAAGGGUAUGGCUGUUCGCCAUUUAAAGCGGUACGCGAGCUGGGUUCAGAACGUCGUGAGACAGUUCGGUCCCUAUCUGCCGUGGGCGUAAGAAGAUUGAAGAGAUUUGACCCUAGUACGAGAGGACCGGGUUGAACAAACCACUGGUGUAGCUGUUGUUCUGCCAAGAGCAUCGCAGCGUAGCUAAGUUUGGAAAGGAUAAACGCUGAAAGCAUCUAAGCGUGAAGCCAACUCUAAGAUGAAUCUUCUCUAAGCUCUCUAGAAGACUACUAGUUUGAUAGGCUGGGUGUGUAAUGGAUGAAAGUCCUUUAGCUGACCAGUACUAAUAGAGCGUUUGGCUUAUCUUUAAUAAAGCAU